GCAGGGAGAAAGGGGUGAAACCCUAACUCAACAAAACCUUCAAAUUGGAGGAUCAAACGAAGGCCAAAUUCAGAUUGGAAUAUACAUAAACGAUCACCAAGUCAAGGGGAUCGAAAGUUGACUCUAAACAAGCUAGGUGGGAGCUUGGAAAGGAACGGGUCAAACGGAUCAUGGAUGCAAAGAAUGUUUGCGCGGACGCGAGGUAAAUACCAAGUGUUCCCGGAUGAAGAUCAAGCUCAAGGAAGAACCGAACACGAUCAAAGAUACAAGCUUCCGCAUAUCAUUUCGUCGAUAUUUUAAU